AAAUGUAGUCUAGCAGUGUGCCCAUGAGAAGAAGCACUGGCAAUCCCUGCGACAAUACAGCUUUAAUAGGUUAUGGAACGGCUUUGUUCCCUGCUAUACAGAGAUGGACACUCAGGACACAAAGAUGUCCCUCCACAAAGGAUGUACUGCCUCCUCUGAAAUUCUGUGAGAAUUGGGAAGAAUAUGCUGACCAUGGGGUGUGUGUGUGCUGACUUUCACGAAGCAGUGGCUGCCUGUCCCCCACCAGCAGGGCAAGAUUUUCCCCCAGUGUGCCCAUCCCUGCCAGCUCUCCCGCUGCUCAGCUGUUCACGCUCCAGUCUCAUACAGCCUAGCAUGGCCUAGUAUAAAGUGACAUGUCAAUGUUAGUCAACUGCGCUUUCCUCUGAUGCUAAUGAUUUUGAACCUCCCGUCAAUGAACUUAUUAGCUUUUUGAGAUUCUGUUUAAGUAAAUUUCCUAUCUGUA